GUGGAAAGAUAUGAAUUUCUGAUUACUUAAAUAUCAGCCUCUCCCAAGUAAGUUAAAUACUCACUAUUUAGAGGAUGACGGCGAUUUUUCUAACUUAUUUUUUUUUAACUCUAUAUUUUCUCUCAGUGUCUUCUCACCAAUUGCCAUUGACGCGACAAAGCUUUCAAAUCCAACCGUCCCAAAAAGUUAACAAAAAUUAAAAUAUUCCAUCCAAACACUCCCUUAAAAUACAGUCUCUUUACGCGUUAUCUUUUCUCCUUCUUCUCCUUCUUCUCCUUCUCCUUCUCCUUAAACCCUAGCUUUCUCUCUCCGCGUAGUUGACUCUCUCUGUAACAUCUAUGGAUGAUAAGGAUAAAGUUGACGAUCCAUUAAAAAGUGCAGCUGAGUUCGCCGCUACUGAGUCAAGCUGGUCACUCGGUGCAGAAUCGGACAAUGUUUACAGCUUCUUCGGCAAUACUGAUAGAGAUAGCAGUAUAUUAAACGAAUUCGGUUGGAAUUUUCCACCGUCGGAGGCGGCCGGAGAUAAGGAUGUUGUCGGUGGUAGUGGCGGUGCCGGUGGAUUUGAUCGAAUCGACGAUGACUUGGCGGGAAAUAGUAGUACUACACCAUCUGCUUCUGCUACUGAAGUACCGGCGACGGGGAAAAUCACCGAUGAACCUUUAUCUUCCAGCUGUUCGGAUGAUCCUCCGGAGAAAUCCACCGCAUCCGGUGGCUCUUCCGCCUCCCGACCGCCGUCCGAUACAGCAAGCAAGGUUAAAAAGAAGGGUCAGAAACGAAUCAGGCAGCCCCGCUUUGCAUUUAUGACGAAAAGCGAAGUUGAUCAUCUUGAAGAUGGCUACAGAUGGAGGAAGUAUGGUCAAAAAGCUGUUAAAAAUAGUCCAUUUCCAAGGAGCUAUUAUCGUUGUACAAACACCAAGUGCACAGUGAAGAAAAGAGUCGAGCGAUCUUCUGAAGAUCCGUCAAUUGUAAUUACCACAUAUGAAGGACAACAUUGUCACCAUACAGUUGGAUUUCCUAGAGGUGGACUUAUUAGUCAUGAAGCUGCAUUUACAACUCAUCAAUUAACACCCUUAGCCUCACAAUUCUACCUUCCCGCGGGUGUUCAAUACCCUCAAGAAGUACCUAUGAGCGCCCCAGAAUCGCGUCAAAUUCCAGGUGAAUCUGCAGAAGCUCGUCGAUUGCCAGAGACAAGUCAACCAGCCAACCAGCUGCCAACUGAUGAAGGAUUGCUUGGGGAUAUUGUACCUCCUGGAAUGCGAAGCAGAUAAUAUUAAGGGCUUUAAGAAUCAGCCCAGUGGAGGUGGCAAUGCGCUCCUCAGCAUGCCAAAGGCAAAUCUUGCGGAGUAUAUCAUGACUUAAUGGAGAACCCUUGGAUAGCAGCUCCAGAUAUUCAAGACUAGCUAUAAUGGUAGAUUUUCCCCUUUACUUCUUUCUCUUUUUUCUACUUUCUGGUGCUGGGGAUUGGGGUACAUAGAGGGAGCUAAGGGGGAGGUAUUACAUUUGACCUGAUUUGUGUUGUAAGUUGCAAUUCUGGUAGUAAUAGUUCUUUUGCCUAUUGUUGUGGGAUCUUUUUCUUAGAGUAGUUUCUACUUUCUAGUUAGUAAUUCCUCGUCCCAAUCUAUGUGGUAUACUAUUUGAUUGUAUACUAAGUUUUAAAAAGAUUUUUAAAA